GGGCCCGCACAAGCGGUGGAGUAUGUGGUUUAAUUCGAUGCAACGCGAAGAACCUUACCAGGGUUUGACAUCCUGCGAAUCUCUUGGAAACGAGAGAGUGCCUUCGGGCAGAUUACAAGGUGCUGCAUGGUUGUCGUCAGCUCGUGCCGUGAGGUGUCAGGUUAAGUCCUAUAACGAGCGCAACCCCUGCCGUUAGUUGCCAGCAUGUAAUGAUGGGAACUCUAACGGGACUGCCGGUGCAAACCGCGAGGAAGGUGGGGAUGACGUCAAAUCAUCACGGCCCUUACGUCCUGGGCUACACACGUGCUACAAUGGCCGGUACAGAGGGCAGCCACACCGCAAGGUGGAGCGAAUCCUUAAAACCGGUCUCAGUUCGGAUCGGGGUCUGCAACUCGGCCCCGUGAAGCUGGAAUCGCUAGUAAUCGGAUAUC
rnacentral:rRNA from 1 species